GGAGGGUGCAAGCGUUAUCCGGAUUUAUUGGGUUUAAAGGGUACGUAGGCGGCAGAGUAAGUCAGUGGUGAAAUCCAGCAGCUUAACUGUUGAAUUGCCAUUGAUACUGCUCAGCUUGAGUGCAGUCGAAGUAGGUGGAAUUCUGUAUGUAGUGGUGAAAUGCAUAGAUAUACGGAGGAACACCAAUAACGAAAGUAGCUUACUAGGCUGUAACUGACGCUGAGGUACGAAAGCGUGGGGGGGAGCAAACGGGAUUAGAGACCCCGGUAUUCCACGCCGUAAACGAUGGUCACUCGAUGUAUGUUCUUGGAACAUGUGUCUAAGCGAAAGCAUUAAGUGACCCCACCUGGGAGUACGCUCGCAAAGAGUG
rnacentral:rRNA from 1 species